CCUGUAAAUAUCAAUAUCAUUUUAAAGGCCUCAAAUUUAGAGCUGGGGAGGGGUCCAGGCUCUUCAGAGACUUCAAGAAUUCAGGAACAAGAUCAUCAUUUUGGACACGCCCACAGUACAACCCAGCAACGCCCAAAUCCCGCCCUGGCCACACCCUGAGCGCGCCCUGGCGGGUAUAAAUCAAAAAGGUUUUCCCAUUCCUGUGAUUAGAGGUAGAAAUGUUUGUGUUGAUGCGCCGGCUCGUUGUGCAGCGGCAGAUAGAGAUCUCUGAGAGAACAGUGAUUAAUGGAGGGGGGUUCAGACCAAGUCCUGGUUAUUGUUCAGGUGCCGAGUAAGGCAAUUAAUUGGUUCCAGGCCAUUUCCACAUUCUGUCUCCCCCCGCACCCGCUGGCAAGGUGAGGGUGCCCUGUGUCUCCCUUACGCUUUUUAAUGAAGUCCCUCCGCGGCCGCUGUCGGUGAAGCGGUUGUUAAAUACAAUUAGCGGCGAUUUGCCGCCCCCAUUGUCUCAAAUAAGAGGCGAGAGAGAGAAAGUAAUCCCCGGAAUGAAAGGGAAGCGAGUGUCAGGCGUUUAAUGGCGCCAUUUAUCAGGGGUGAGGCGCUUGGCGCUUUGAUGCCUCACAAGUAAUGAUUCCUUUAUGAAAUGGCUCUUGUUGUCUCGGGGUAUGAAAUCUCCUGGAGACAUUUUUAUCCCUGGCUACAAAUCUGCGCCACUUACCUGUCUGACACUAUCAUGGGCCACUUGUCUCCUCAGUCAUUGAGUCUGACAGCUCUGAGAUGAACGUGUCUAAUAACUUUUAUUAUUCUGAAGUGAGCCCCUUGUUUUUAUCACUGGAGAAAUCCUUAUCUAAUGGCACCGGGGGUGUUUGGCAGACGGCAGCAGCGCGGCUACACCAAGGUUUAUUCAAUGAGACGGUGUAUUACUGGCCGCACCGAAUGAUAAAGGAAGGAGAAUAUUUAACAGCGGAAUCACCUUGCCACUGACACAUUGUUAAAAGUUAAUUAAAUGCUCAUUAAAAAACUUUAUGGACAAGACUGUGUCUGGGGCUAUAGAAGAUGCAGUGUGGGUUAAUCUCCUCCACAAGGUGGCGCUGUCGAACGCAAUUCAUUCCUAUGACUCUGAUUUGAACCCCCUGCCUGUGGCCUCUCCUGACCUCAUUUGGCCAGUGCAGAUAUGUCACUCAUUUCCAUGCUCUCCUGUGACUCUGUUUUCCUAGAA